AUGGGAACCCAUGUGUCCAGGAUGACCGGAAACCGAAUCUUCAGUCUACAGAAUUUAAAAACUAGAAAGGUUGCCAUCAGAGCCCGUAACUAAGUGAGAAGUCCUUCAAUGAGGAAAAGCUGGCUUCCAGCAGCAUGAGCAGCUUACACAGAUGAAUUCAAGACGAGCCAAUCAGCUUCCAAGUCUUAUCCUGACCGCUGGAGCCAGGAGACAGCUUGGCCUACAGCUGAAAGCCCAGCACAGCUUCAGGACAAUCUCCACUUAGGAUACUGUCCAGAUGAAACCUUUCCCAAGGAAGACCUCGUCCUCGGUGUCAUCCGUAUCCACCUCCUUCCCCUGUCCUCCCAUCGCAGAUUCCUGUGUGAGUAGUGGGGAGGACGGCGGCCUGAAACUAUGCUACUGCUUUUGGAUCCUGGGUGGGAUGAUGAUUCUGAACCCACGUGGAAAGUGGAGGGACAGCCUAUACAGCUACGCAGGUUGUGCACUGCUCAACUCCAGGGACUCCGUUCACCCAGACCGCCAUGUGAUCCGCUCUCCAAACUGUCAUGUCCACCUCUGGGAGGUCUUUCUUGAUCCCCUCCUUCCGCAGGUCUCUCUUCCUUUGGUGGACAUUCACGGAUGCCACUAGGUAUACCUCAGACAGGUGCCUCCAGCCCCAAUCUCAUCAGAGGAUCAUGCUCCAAAGAACCCCGAAGAACUAAGACAAGCUGCCAAGAAUGAGCCAAGAGGGAAGCCUUAACCUCUCCACUAAAACUCAGUCCCUUCAAUGAUGCUGAGCUACUGGAGGAAACCACAUCAAGUGUUCCUGGGCCAAGGAGGACUCACCCAUUGCCAGAGGGAAAUCAGAUACAACCAGCUCUUUCUUCUGAAGGGAGAUCAGGUGAUGGUCCAGCCUGAGCUCCAGCUGAGUAUCUCAGGAUGCUGCUGCCAAAAGUCCCCACCUAGGAGCUAGGAUAGAGCAGGACACAUGCACUUUUUCCAGCUUCUACUUCCAUAGAUAGGAGUCUCAGGAACUGGGUUUAGUUGAGCUGCCACUAAAUCUCACCUUGCUUCAAACAAGAGCCUAGAACUUUUCUAUUAAUAUCACUCGGGCCUUCAGCCCAACUCCUGCUAUAGACCGUGACCUAACCAGUUGGCCAUGACCUUGAAGCCUGGACAGUACACCUCCCCAUCACUGCUCUGUCCCGCUGUCCAGCCCUUGAGGCAGCCCAGGACAAGGCAGCUGUACUGGAAGUCUGACAGUUGUCUCAUGUUACCUGGGAUACGUGUCGAACAUGGUAUGCUAUCACUUCAGCCUGGAGGACCUGGGCCAGUUUGCACUGAUCUUUCUAUUCCCUGGGGCCAGCACAGUGAUGAACACACAGUGAGUAUUCAGAAAGCAUUUGUUAAUAGGGUAAUGCAUAUAAAAUGAGCCGUUUUAAAUUUCCUAAAGUAAUAAA